rnacentral:rRNA from 1 species
UACGUAGGGUGCAAGCGUUGUCCGGAAUUAUUGGGCGUAAAGAGCUCGUAGGCGGUUUGUCGCGUCUGCCGUGAAAGUCCGGGGCUCAACUCCGGAUCUGCGGUGGGUACGGGCAGACUAGAGUGAUGUAGGGGAGACUGGAAUUCCUGGUGUAGCGGUGAAAUGCGCAGAUAUCAGGAGGAACACCGAUGGCGAAGGCGGGUCUCUGGGCCGAUACUGACGCUGAGGAGCGAAAGCGUGGGGAGCGAACAGG